CAGCGCUCUGCACCACCAGGAGGACGCGGCUGGGCGGCGGCGCGCCCUGCGGGAGCAGCUGGAGCAAAUGCAUCGGGAGAGGACCGAGCGGCUGCGGGCCCUCGGGGCCAGGAAAUUGGGAUGGCGGUUCUUGUUAAGCUCCCCUAUGCCGCCCAGCAGGAAACCAGUCACCGUGUCCUCGUCUCCGAUCACUGCGAUGAGCUUACCCCUCCCCGCCAUCCCUGCAGCCGGGCAGAGCUCACCCUAGAGCACCAGAAGCCACUGAAACCCCGCCUCCGCCGCACGGCGCCCCGUCGGCCUCAACCCCCACCCUUCGAGCAUGCGCAGUCCUCCCAGCCGCAUUCCGGGACAUGCGCAUUAACAGCAACACGGCCUCCAUGUGAAUACGCCUGCGCCGUAAAGACAGGCCCGAACCAGGGGACUACGAUUCCCAGAAGACCGCGCGGCACCACGUCCUUCGCGGGCAUUCAUUCGUUCAUUCACUCGUUCCUUGGUUCAUUCGUUCAACAAGCGCUUUGGACCUGACGCUGUUAGACGCCGAGACCCCAGAGAAGAGACGCAGUUACUCAUCUCAAGGGCAGGAUCUGGGUCUUUAUCGUGUAUGUAUGUGUGUAACUAUGACACAUAGUUCACAAGUAACACACGUUUGUUCAGUUAAAGGAAUGCAAAAGUUAAUGAUGAUACUGCCUAGUGAGGUGGAAAGUCAAGGGAACAGGCGACUACAAAGCUGUGUGUUAAUGGUUAGAAUGUGAAAAGUAUAUGGAAGCACACAUCCAUGGCAACUAACCCAUGGAGAGAGGGGGCGUCCAAAGAACCCUUCCCCAAGAAGCUUGCUUCAGAUCUAAGCUGAGACCUGAAGGACCUGCAGGAUGAAGGGGCUAGAAGUGAGGACAAGACGGUGUUCUAGGCAGAGGAACAGCAUGUGCAAAGGCGUACUGACUAGAGAGCGUAGGGCCUUCAAGGAAAGUUAAAUAAUUGGUAAGGCCAGGCAUGGUGGCUCACGCCACGCC
rnacentral:lncRNA from 1 species